CGAAUUCCAAGCUUACAGUUUGAUCCUGGCUCAUGAUGAACGCUAGCGGCAGGCCUAAUGCAUGCAAGUCUAACGGGCUUAUGUUUUUCGGAAUAUGGGUUAAUGGCGCCCGGGUGAGUAACACGUACAUAACCUACCUUCCAGAGGGGGAUACCCUUGGGAAACUGAAAGUAAUACCCCAUACUAUCCCGUUGCCGCAUCGUGAAUUGAUUAAAGCUGAUGUGCUUGGAGAUGGAUGUGCGUCUGAUUACCUCCCUGGCGAGGUAGCGGCUCCCCUGGGCCACCAUCUGUAUGGGGCGUGAGAGCGUGGCCCCCCACACCGGUACUGAUACACGGACCCCACUCCUACCGGAGGCAUCACUAAGGAAUAUUGGUCAAUGGAGGGAACUCUGAACCAUCCAUGCCGCGUGAAGGAUGACUGCCCUCUGGGUUGUAAACUUCUUUUGGAUGGGGCGAAAAAACGGGAUUUAUCCUGGACUGACAGUACCAUCAGAAUAAGCACCGGCUAACUCCGUGCCACCAGCCGCGGUAAUACGGAGGGUGGAAGCGUUAUCCGGAAUCACUGGGUUUAAAGGGUGCGUAGGCGGUUGUAUAAGUCAGGGGUGAAAGCACGCAGCUUAACUGUGUAAAUGCCUUUGAUACUGUACGGCUUGAAUAAGGUUGAGGUUGGCGGAAUGUGACAUGUACCGCUGACAUGCAUAGAUAUGUCAUAGAACACCGAUUGCGAAGGCAGCUGACUGGGCCUAUAUUGACGCUGAUGCACGAAAGCGUGUGGAGCGAACAGGAUUAGAUACCCUGGUAGUCCACGCCCUAAACGACGUAUACUCGUUGUUUGAGAGUAAUCUUGAGCGACCCCUCGAAAGCAUUAAGUAUACCACCUGGGGAGUACGCCUGCAAGGGUGAGACUCAAAGGAAUUGCUCGGGGUCCCACACGCGCUGGAGCAUGUGUUUUACUUCUAUGAUACACGAGGAUCUUACCUAGCUAUAUGUGAGUGACUAUGUCGGAAUAGUAUAGUCUUAUGGUACCGAACCACGUGAUGCACGGUGUCGUCAGCUCCUGUCUGAGCUGUUGGAUAGUCCACAACGACGAACUCCUACUUCAGUGCAUGUGUGUAAGAAACUAGCGCACUUGUCAAGACUGCCCUACGUAGUCUGCGGAG
rnacentral:rRNA from 1 species